AUUGAACGCUGGCGGAAUGCUUUACACAUGCAAGUCGAGCGGCAGCGCGGGGGCAACCCUGGCGGCGAGCGGCGAACGGGUGAGUAAUGUAUCGGAACGUACCCUGUCGUGGGGGAUAACACAGCGAAAGCUGUGCUAAUACCGCAUACGACCUGAGGGUGAAAGCGGGGGAUCGCAAGACCUCGCGCGAUGGGAGCGGCCGAUAUCGGAUUAGCUUGUUGGUGAGGUAAAGGCUCACCAAGGCGACGAUCCGUAGCUGGUCUGAGAGGACGACCAGCCACACUGGAACUGAGACACGGUCCAGACUCCUACGGGAGGCAGCAGUGGGGAAUUUUGGGACAAUGGGGGCAACCCUGAUCCAGCCAUUCCGCGUGAGUGAAGAAGGCCUCGGGUUGU
rnacentral:rRNA from 1 species